ACUGAGAAAGACAUCAAUCCCAUGGGUGGUUUCCGUCACCCCAAUUUCUUUGAGAAGCAGGUUCCUAUUGAUGCUGAUUUCCAUAAGGAUGAAAUGAUUGACAACAUUGGAGUGACAAAAGGUAAGAGUUAUAAAGAUGUUACUCCUUGGGGUGUUACCCAUAUCCCCCGCAAGACUCACAGGGGUUUGAGGAAGGUUGCUUGUAUCGGUGCAUGGCAUCCUGCCAAAGUUUCCUUCACCGUUGCAAGGGCUGUUGCAAGUGCUUGAUAGGAUAUACUUAAGUUGCGACCGAGGAAUAGUCGUAUUGUGGCACUUUUAUUGAAGAUGGUGUAAAAGACCAUUUCAUUGGUUUUCUUUCGUGCUUAUAUAUGAUAAAUUGUCAAGUCAGCUAGUACGUUUGGUUUGUAAUAAGGCCCAGGUAUGGUGACACCGGGGGUCAUGAUUCAUGUGUUUUCUUUUGUACAUAUGUAUGCUGGUAUUGUGACAUCGGAGUCGGGAUUCUUAUGUUUCCUUUUGUACAUAUGUAUGCUAAACUGCCAAGGCAGCUAGUAUGUUUGGUUUGUAAUAAGACUAUGGUAUUGUGACAUUGGGGUCAGGAUUCAUGUUUUUUAAAUUACUAUGUUUGGUUUUAUGUUUUAAUCAAGCACUCAUAUAUGAGAUUGUUAA